AGCGUCACAAGUUGUAUCAUUAAUCCAUGUUUCUGUUAGAGCUAUCACUGUAAAGGAAUAAUUUAACGUCGCUAAAUAGUUUAGAAAGUUAUCGAACUUAUUUUUUAUGCUUCUUAUGUUUAGACUUAAUAUAGAAAACUGAUUCUCUAGAAUAUGCUCUCGUUUAAUUAAUUCAAUGAAAUCAGUAGUUAGAUAAUAAUUGUUUUCCACCGUUGUCUCAUGUUUAGUGCUUGUAUAAUAGUUGUGGUCUGGAUUUAGACUUCCUAACAUGUCACUGUCUAUGUUACGUUCGUUCCCUGCUGCAUGUUGAUUUUCAAAUGGGUUAAAAACCAAAUUUUCUAAAGUGUCACGAU